UACGUAGGGUGCGAGCGUUGUUCGGAAUCACUGGGCGUAAAGGGCGCGUAGGCGGCCUGAUAAGUAGGGGGUGAAAUCCUGCGGCUUAACCGCAGGGCUGCCUUCUAAACUGUCAGGCUGGAGCACAGUAGAGGCAGGUGGAAUUCCCGGUGUAGCGGUGGAAUGCGUAGAGAUCGGGAAGAACAUCAGUGGCGAAGGCGGCCUGCUGGGCUGUAGCUGACGCUGAGGCGCGACAGCGUGGGGAGCAAACAGG
rnacentral:rRNA from 1 species